rnacentral:rRNA from 1 species
AGCGAACGCUGGCGGCGUGCCUAACACAUGCAAGUCGAACGUGAAAAGGGAAACCUGAGUAAAGUGGCGUACGGGUGAGUAACGCGUAGGUAAUCUACCCCAGAAUCUGGAAUAACCUGCCGAAAGGCGGGCUAAUACUGGAUAGAGCGAGGGAACUCGUAAGAGAGUUUUUCGGGAAAGGGAGCCCGCAAGGGCCUUCGUUCUGGGAUGAGCCUGCGUCUCAUUAGCUAGUUGGUAAGGUAACGGCUUACCAAGGCGAUGAUGAGUAGCUGGUCUGAGAGGAUGAUCAGCCACACUGGAACUGAAACACGGUCCAGACUCCUACGGGAGGCAGCAGUGGGGAAUCUUGCGCAAUGGACGAAAGCCUGACGCAGCCACGCCGCGUGAGUGAAGAAGGCCUUCGGGUUGUAAAGCUCUGUCGGAUGGGACGAACAUCUUCAUAGUGAAUAGCUAUGAGGACUGACGGUACCAUCAAAGGAAGCACCGGCUAACUCCGUG